rnacentral:rRNA from 1 species
AGUGAACGCUGGCGGCAGGCCUAACACAUACAAGUCGAACGGCAGCACAGAGGAGCUUGCUCCUUGGGUGGCGAGUGGCGGACGGGUGAGGAAUGCAUCGGAAUCUGCCUAUUUGUGGGGGAUAACGUAGGGAAACUUACGCUAAUACCGCAUACGUCCUACGGGAGAAAGUGGGGGACCUUCGGGCCUCACGCAGAUAGAUGAGCCGAUGCCGGAUUAGCUAGUUGGCGGGGUAAAGGCCCACCAAGGCGACGAUCCGUAGCUGGUCUGAGAGGAUAAUCAGCCACACUGGAGCUGAGACACGGUCCAGACUCCUACGGGAGGCAGCAGUGGGGAAUAUUGGACAAUGGGCGCAAGCCUGAUCCAGCCAUGCCGCGUGUGUGAAGAAGGCCUUCGGGUUGUAAAGCACUUUUGUCCGGAAAGAAAAGCGCUCGAUUAAUACUCGGGUGUUAUGACGGUACCGGAAGAAUAAGCACCGGCUAACUUCGUGCCAGCCGCCGCAGUAACAC